rnacentral:rRNA from 1 species
GAUGAACGCUGGCGGCGUGCCUAAUACAUGCAAGUCGAGCGAACGGACGAGAAGCUUGCUUCUCUGAUGUUAGCGGCGGACGGGUGAGUAACAAGUGGAUAACCUCCCUUUAAGAAUGGGAUAAAUUCGGGAAACCGUAGCUAAUACCGGAUAAUAUUUUGAACCGCAUGGUUCAAAAGUGAAAGACGGUCUUGCUGUCACUAAUAGAUGGAUCCGCGCUGCAGUAGCUAGUUGGUAAGGUAACGGCUUACCAAGGCAACAAUGCAUAGCCGACCUGAGAGGGUGAUCGUCCACGCUGUGACUGAGACACGGUCCAGACUCCUACGGGGGGCAGCAGUAGGGAAUCUUCCGCAAUGGGCGAAAGCCUGACGGAGCAACGCCGCGUGAGUGAUGAAGGUCUUCGGAUCGUAAAACUCUGUUAUUAGUGAAGAACAAAUGUGUAAGUAACUGUGCACAUCUUGACGGUACCUAAGCAGAAAGCCACGGCUAAAUACGUG